UCAGAUUGAACGCUGGCGGCAGGCCUAACACAUGCAAGUCGAGCGGAAACGAUGGGAGCUUGCUUCCAGGCGUCGAGCGGCGGACGGGUGAGUAAUGCAUGGGAAUCUGCCCGAUAGUGGGGGAUAACCUGGGGAAACCCAGGCUAAUACCGCAUACGUCCUACGGGAGAAAGCAGGGGAUCUUCGGACCUUGCGCUAUCGGAUGAGCCCAUGUCGGAUUAGCUUGUUGGUGAGGUAAUGGCUCACCAAGGCGACGAUCCGUAGCUGGUCUGAGAGGAUGAUCAGCCACAUCGGGACUGAGACACGGCCCGAACUCCUACGGGAGGCAGCAGUGGGGAAUAUUGGACAAUGAGCGAAAGCCUGAUCCAGCCAUGCCGCGUGUGUGAAGAAGGCCCUCGGGUUGUAAAGCACUUUCAGUGGGGAAGAAAGCCUUGGGAUUAAUACUCCCGAGGAAGGACAUCACCCACAGAAGAAGCACCGGCUAACUCCGUGCCAGCAGCCGCGGUAAUACGGGGGGUGCGAGCGUUAAUCGGAAUUACUGGGCGUAAAGCGCGCGUAGGCGGUCUGAUAAGCCGGUUGUGAAAGCCCCGGGCUCAACCUGGGAACGGCAUCCGGAACUGUCAGGCUAGAGUGCAGGAGAGGAAGGUA
rnacentral:rRNA from 1 species